UAGGGAAUCUUCCGCAAUGGGCGAAAGCCUGACGGAGCAACGCCGCGUGAGUGAUGAAGGUCUUCGGAUCGUAAAACUCUGUUAUUAGGGAAGAACAAAUGUGUAAGUAACUAUGCACGUCUUGACGGUACCUAAUCAGAAAGCCACGGCUAACUACGUGCCAGCAGCCGCGGUAAUACGUAGGUGGCAAGCGUUAUCCGGAAUUAUUGGGCGUAAAGCGCGCGUAGGCAGUUUUUUAAGUCUGAUGUGAAAGCCCACGGCUCAACCGUGGAGGGUCAUUGGAAACUGGAAAACUUGAGUGCAGAAGAGGAAAGUGGAAUUCCAUGUGUAGCAGUGAAAUGCGCAGAGAUAUGGAGGAACACCAGUGGCGAAGGCGACUUUCUGGUCUGUAACUGACGCUGAUGUGCGAAAGCGUGGGGAUCAAACAGG
rnacentral:rRNA from 1 species